UACGUAGGGGGCAAGCGUUGUCCGGAUUUAUUGGGCGUAAAGAGCGUGUAGGCGGCCAGACAGGUCCGUUGUGAAAACUGGAGGCUCAACCUCCAGACGUCGAUGGAAACCGUCUGGCUAGAGUCCGGAAGAGGAGAGUGGAAUUCCUGGUGUAGCGGUGAAAUGCGCAGAUAUCAGGAAGAACACCCGUGGCGAAAGCGGCUCUCUGGGACGGUACUGACGCUGAGGCGCGAAAGCGUGGGGAGCGAACAGG
rnacentral:rRNA from 1 species